rnacentral:rRNA from 1 species
CCUACGGGAGGCAGCAGUGAGGGAUAUUGCACAAUGGGGGAAACCCUGAUGCAGCGACGCCGCGUGGGUGAUGAAGGUCUUCGGAUCGUAAAACCCUUUUCUAGGUGACGAGCAAGGACGGUAGCCUAGGAAGAAGUCUCGGCUAACUACGUGCCAGCAGCCGCGGUAAAACGUAGGAGGCGAGCGUUAUCCGGAGUUACUGGGCGUAAAGCGUAUGUAGGCGGUUGGGCAAGUGGCGUGUGAAAGCUCCCGGCUAAACUGGGAGAGGACAGGUCAGACUGCCCGGCUAGAGGAUGGUAGAGGAGCGCGGAAUUCGGGGUGUAGCGGUGAAAUGUGUAGAGAUCCCGAGGAACACCAGUGGCGCAAGCGGCGCUCUGGGCCAUCACUGACGCUGAGAUACGAAAGCGUGGGGAGCGAACGGGAUUAGAUACCCUUGUAGU